CUUCCACCUCUUCCUCUUCUUCUUCCUCUUCUUCUCCUUCUUGGGAAAGAUUGUCCUUUAAAAUAAUCUCAGUUGGAUCUACCUCCUCAUUUUGGCCAUCUUUACAUAGGAAAAUUGUUAAAGCAUCUAAUUCCACAUUAUCAAAUGAUUGAUGAACUCCUACUAUCUCAUCCUCUUGAAAGUAUUCUAAUAAUUGGGACUCUUCUUUUUUCUCAAGCAUGUAAUGAAUGGC
rnacentral:lncRNA from 1 species